AGAGUUUGAUCAUGGCUCAGAUUGAACGCUGGCGGCAGGCCUAACACAUGCAAGUCGAACGGUAACAGGAAGCAGCUUGCUGCUUCGCUGACGAGUGGCGGACGGGUGAGUAAUGUCUGGGAAACUGCCUGAUGGAGGGGGAUAACUACUGGAAACGGUGGCUAAUACCGCAUAACGUCGCAAGACCAAAGAGGGGGACCUUCGGGCCUCUUGCCAUCAGAUGUGCCCAGAUGGGAUUAGCUUGUUGGUGAGGUAACGGCUCACCAAGGCGACGAUCCCUAGCUGGUCUGAGAGGAUGACCAGCCACACUGGAACUGAGACACGGUCCAGACUCCUACGGGAGGCAGCAGUGGGGAAUAUUGCACAAUGGGCGCAAGCCUGAUGCAGCCAUGCCGCGUGUAUGAAGAAGGCCUUCGGGUUGUAAAGUACUUUCAGCGGGGAGGAAGGUGUUGCGGUUAAUAACCGCAGCAAUUGACGUUACCCGCAGAAGAAGCACCGGCUAACUCCGUGCCAGCAGCCGCGGUAAUACGGAGGGUGCAAGCGUUAAUCGGAAUUACUGGGCGUAAAGCGCACGCAGGCGGUCUGUCAAGUCGGAUGUGAAAUCCCCGGGCUCAACCUGGGAACUGCAUUCGAAACUGGCAGGCUUGAGUCUUGUAGAGGGGGGUAGAAUUCCAGGUGUAGCGGUGAAAUGCGUAGAGAUCUGGAGGAAUACCGGUGGCGAAGGCGGCCCCCUGGACAAAGACUGACGCUCAGGUGCGAAAGCGUGGGGAGCAAACAGGAUUAGAUACCCUGGUAGUCCACGCCGUAAACGAUGUCUACUUGGAGGUUGUGCCCUUGAGGUGUGGCUUCCGGAGCUAACGCGUUAAGUAGACCGCCUGGGGAGUACGGCCGCAAGGUUAAAACUCAAAUGAAUUGACGGGGGCCCGCACAAGCGGUGGAGCAUGUGGUUUAAUUCGAUGCAACGCGAAGAACCUUACCUGGUCUUGACAUCCACAGAAGAAUCCAGAGAUGGAUUUGUGCCUUCGGGAACUGUGAGACAGGUGCUGCAUGGCUGUCGUCAGCUCGUGUUGUGAAAUGUUGGGUUAAGUCCCGCAACGAGCGCAACCCUUAUCCUUUGUUGCCAGCGGUCCGGCCGGGAACUCAAAGGAGACUGCCAGUGAUAAACUGGAGGAAGGUGGGGAUGACGUCAAGUCAUCAUGGCCCUUACGACCAGGGCUACACACGUGCUACAAUGGCGCAUACAAAGAGAAGCGACCUCGCGAGAGCAAGCGGACCUCAUAAAGUGCGUCGUAGUCCGGAUUGGAGUCUGCAACUCGACUCCAUGAAGUCGGAAUCGCUAGUAAUCGUGGAUCAGAAUGCCACGGUGAAUACGUUCCCGGGCCUUGUACACACCGCCCGUCACACCAUGGGAGUGGGUUGCAAAAGAAGUAGGUAGCUUAACCUUCGGGAGGGCGCUUACCACUUUGUGAUUCAUGACUGGGGUGAAGUCGUAACAAGGUAACCGUAGGGGAACCUGCGGUUGGAUCACCUCCUU
rnacentral:rRNA from 1 species